UGGUGCGCUUUUUAAGUUCCUCAUGAGAAAGGCAUUAUUAUGCUGUUUCUUUGUGGAAGAUACAGUCGAGUACUGUACUGCCUUAGCACAUUUUAGCAAUCAGAUUACUCUAGCUUCAACAUAAAACAAGUAGAAUAUUUGGGCCAGAUAUGGCCGGGUUAAAUGCUUAUGGGUCAAGUGUUGAGUUUCUUCCCUCUAGAUUUAGAGCUCGAGUACAACUGACAUGUACUUUGAUUUUUACGCCAUCUUUGUAGUUGGUAAAAAUAAACUCAAGUCAUAUACUGCAGAUAACUUGGUCUCCUAUACCCCUACCAUUACAAACUUCUACCCUUGUGCUAAUGUAAGAAACCAUUGAUAUAUAGUAUUGCAGAAUGUAUUUAUAUAAAAAAAAAAAAAAGAUGUUUAUUUGUAUAAUUCUUGUA